rnacentral:rRNA from 1 species
UACGUAGGGACCGAGCGUUGUCCGGAUUCAUUGGGCGUAAAGGGCUCGUAGGCGGUUUGUCGCGUCGGGAGUGAAAACUCAGGGCUUAACCCUGAGCCUGCUUCCGAUACGGGCAGACUAGAGGUAUGUAGGGGGAGAACGGAAUUCCUGGUGUAGCGGUGAAAAUGCGCAGAUAUCAGGAGGAACACCGGUGGCGAAGGCGGUUCUCUGGGCAUUACCUGACGCUGAGGAGCGAAAGUGUGGGGAGCGAACAGG